rnacentral:tRNA from 1 species
GGGGUUGUGGCUCAGUGGUAGAGUGCUUGCCCUGCACACAGGAGGCACUGGGUUCAAUCCUCAGCACCA